rnacentral:rRNA from 1 species
GACGAACGCUGGCGGCGUGCUUAACACAUGCAAGUCGAACGGAAAGGCCCUGCUUUUGUGGGGUGCUCGAGUGGCGAACGGGUGAGUAACACGUGAGUAACCUGCCCUUGACUUUGGGAUAACUUCAGGAAACUGGGGCUAAUACCGGAUAGGAGCUCCUGCUGCAUGGUGGGGGUUGGAAAGUUUCGGCGGUUGGGGAUGGACUCGCGGCUUAUCAGCUUGUUGGUGGGGUAGUGGCUUACCAAGGCUUUGACGGGUAGCCGGCCUGAGAGGGUGACCGGCCACAUUGGGACUGAGAUACGGCCCAGACUCCUACGGGAGGCAGCAGUGGGGAAUAUUGCACAAUGGGCGGAAGCCUGAUGCAGCAACGCCGCGUGCGGGAUGACGGCCUUCGGGUUGUAAACCGCUUUCGCCUGUGACGAAGCGUGAGUGACGGUAAUGGGUAAAGAAGCACCGGCUAACUACGUGCCAGCAGCCGCGGUGAUACGUAGGGUGCGAGCGUUGUCCGGAUUUAUUGGGCGUAAAGGGCUCGUAGGUGGUUGAUCGCGUCGGAAGUGUAAUCUUGGGGCUUAACCCUGAGCGUGCUUUCGAUACGGGUUGACUUGAGGAAGGUAGGGGAGAAUGGAAUUCCUGGUGGAGCGGUGGAAUGCGCAGAUAUCAGGAGGAACACCAGUGGCGAAGGCGGUUCUCUGGGCCUUUCCUGACGCUGAGGAGCGAAAGCGUGGGGAGCGAACAGGCUUAGAUACCCUGGUAGUCCACGCUGUAAACGGUGGGUACUAGGUGUGGGGUCCAUUCCACGGGUUCCGUGCCGUAGCUAACGCUUUAAGUACCCCGCCUGGGGAGUACGGCCGCAAGGCUAAAACUCAAAGGAAUUGACGGGGCCCCGCACAAGCGGCGGAGCAUGCGGAUUAAUUCGAUGCAACGCGUAGAACCUUACCUGGGUUUGACAUGGAUCGGGAGUGCUCAGAGAUGGGUGUGCCUCUUUUGGGGUCGGUUCACAGGUGGUGCAUGCCUGUCGUCAGCUCGUGUCGUGAGAUGUUGGGUUAAGUCCCGCAACGAGCGCAACCCUUGUUCACUGUUGCCAGCACGUUAUGGUGGGGACUCAGUGGAGACCGCCGGGGUCAACUCGGAGGAAGGUGGGGAUGACGUCAAGUCCUCAUGCCCCUUAUGUCCAGGGCUUCACGCAUGCUACAAUGGCUGGUACAGAGAGUGGCGAGCCUGUGAGGGUGAGCGAAUCUCGGAAAGCCGGUCUCAGUUCGGAUUGGGGUCUGCAACUCGACCUCAUGAAGUCGGAGUCGCUAGUAAUCGCAGAUCAGCAACGCUGCGGUGAAUACGUUCCCGGGGCUUGUACACACCGCCCGUCAAGUCAUGAAAGUUGGUAACACCCGAAGCCGGUGGCCUAACCGUUGUGGGGGAGCCGUCGAAGGUG